AAGUCGUAACAAGGUUUCCGUAGGUGAACCUGCGGAAGGAUCAUUACUGGUUUAGCGAACCGAGCGUCAAGCAAGGUUUUGCGAUCAACUUAUAUUUAAAACCCACUCUUGAAUGUUAUAAAAUUUUUAUGUAAUAAAAUAAAAAAAAGAUCACUUUCAACAACGGAUCUCUUGGCUCUC
rnacentral:misc_RNA from 1 species